rnacentral:lncRNA from 1 species
ACAUCACAGUUGAGAGGAGACGUGCAUAGGAACUGCGUCAUCUGGUUCCACACUCGCUCCAGUGAUGUUUGAGCCCCAGCAUAGAUCAGCAUGCCAGGAAGCAGCCCACCGGACCCACCCCUGAUCAUGGCACUGGACAUUGUUUUCCGUGCUUUUCUCAGGCUGGUUUCUGCCUGUCCCAACCCUGGCCAUGGCUGACAAGGGGCCCAGGGACACUGGAGCAGAGAGACCUGCUGGUCCUUGGGGUUUCUUGCAAGAGUGAAUCAUCUGUGAACACUUCCUGUGAACGUGUGACUAUGAUUAUGGAACACUCUGUUGCAUCAAGAUGGCCAGAGAUUGUCUCAGAGUCCAGGCAGUGGGAGGAGGGGGGAUUUGUUUCCUGGCUGGGUGGUCGUAGGGCAUCAAGGGAUGAGCAGCUUUGGUUGUCUGGGAUUUCAGCAGCUUGAGGGGAGCUGUAGGGCCCCAGAGCUGUCGCUGUGGCUGUGGUGUCAGAAAUGUAAGCAAGGUGCCUCCAUGGAGGUUAGCGAGGGUGCCCCUCUGAAUGCCGGGUGGAAUGCAACCUUUCGCAUGGAGGAGGCCCUCAGCAGCUGACCUCUGUCUUCCCUGUGUAGAGGGAGGGAGGCUGAGGCUGGGGCUGAGCGAGGGGUAAAGUAAGCCACGUGUCUCAUCAGCUAGCCUGCAGCAAGCACAGCCCUCUGGGAGGGCUGGUUCUAUCCUCCUCCUUGGUGUGAAAUCCAUCAAUCUAAUAGGGAUCCUUAUUUUCCCAGCCACCAAGUCACAAUGAGCAAUAAUCUCUUCUUGUUGGUGCAUAUAAAUUUGCUUCAUUCUUUUUUAAACA